rnacentral:rRNA from 1 species
UUGAACGCUGGCGGCAGGCCUAACACAUGCAAGUCGAACGGUAACAGGAAACAGCUUGCUGUUUCGCUGACGAGUGGCGGACGGGUGAGUAAUGUCUGGGAAACUGCCUGAUGGAGGGGGAUAACUACUGGAAACGGUAGCUAAUACCGCAUAACGUCGCAAGACCAAAGAGGGGGACCUUCGGGCCUCUUGCCAUCGGAUGUGCCCAGAUGGGAUUAGCUUGUUGGUGGGGUAACGGCUCACCAAGGCGACGAUCCCUAGCUGGUCUGAGAGGAUGACCAGCCACACUGGAACUGAGACACGGUCCAGACUCCUACGGGAGGCAGCAGUGGGGAAUAUUGCACAAUGGGCGCAAGCCUGAUGCAGCCAUGCCGCGUGUAUGAAGAAGGCCUUCGGGUUGUAAAGUACUUUCAGCGGGGAGGAAGGGAGUAAAGUUAAUACCUUUGCUCAUUGACGUUACCCGCAGAAGAAGCACCGGCUAACUCCGUGCCAGCAGCCGCGGUAAUACGGAGGGUGCAAGCGUUAAUCGGAAUUACUGGGCGUAAAGCGCACGCAGGCGGUUUGUUAAGUCAGAUGUGAAAUCCCCGGGCUCAACCUGGGAACUGCAUCUGAUACUGGCAAGCUUGAGUCUCGUAGAGGGGGGUAGAAUUCCAGGUGUAGCGGUGAAAUGCGUAGAGAUCUGGAGGAAUACCGGUGGCGAAGGCGGCCCCCUGGACGAAGACUGACGCUCAGGUGCGAAAGCGUGGGGAGCAAACAGGAUUAGAUACCCUGGUAGUCCACGCCGUAAACGAUGUCGACUUGGAGGUUGUGCCCUUGAGGCGUGGCUUCCGGAGCUAACGCGUUAAGUCGACCGCCUGGGGAGUACGGCCGCAAGGUUAAAACUCAAAUGAAUUGACGGGGGCCCGCACAAGCGGUGGAGCAUGUGGUUUAAUUCGAUGCAACGCGAAGAACCUUACCUGGUCUUGACAUCCACGGAAGUUUUCAGAGAUGAGAAUGUGCCUUCGGGAACCGUGAGACAGGUGCUGCAUGGCUGUCGUCAGCUCGUGUUGUGAAAUGUUGGGUUAAGUCCCGCAACGAGCGCAACCCUUAUCCUUUGUUGCCAGCGGUCCGGCCGGGAACUCAAAGGAGACUGCCAGUGAUAAACUGGAGGAAGGUGGGGAUGACGUCAAGUCAUCAUGGCCCUUACGACCAGGGCUACACACGUGCUACAAUGGCGCAUACAAAGAGAAGCGACCUCGCGAGAGCAAGCGGACCUCAUAAAGUGCGUCGUAGUCCGGAUUGGAGUCUGCAACUCGACUCCAUGAAGUCGGAAUCGCUAGUAAUCGUGGAUCAGAAUGCCACGGUGAAUACGUUCCCGGGCCUUAUACACACCGCCCGUCACACCAUGGGAGUGGGUUGCAAAAGAAGUAGGUAGCUUAACCUUCGGGAGGGCGCUUACCACUUUGUGAUUCAUGACUGGGGUG